rnacentral:rRNA from 1 species
UACGAAGGGGGCUAGCGUUGUUCGGAAUCACUGGGCGUAAAGGGCGCGUAGGCGGCCAACUAAGUCAGACGUGAAAUCCCUCGGCUUAACCGGGGAACUGCGUCUGAUACUGGAUGGCUUGAGUUUGGGAGAGGGAUGCGGAAUUCCAGGUGUAGCGGUGAAAUGCGUAGAUAUCUGGAGGAACACCGGUGGCGAAGGCGGCAUCCUGGACCAACACUGACGCUGAGUGAGCGAAAGCCAGGGGAGCAAACGGG